CCUACGGGAGGCAGCAGUGAGGAAUAUUGGUCAAUGGGCGCGAGCCUGAACCAGCCAAGUAGCGUGAAGGAUGACUGCCCUACGGGUUGUAAACUUCUUUUAUAAAGGAAUAAGGUGAGGCACGUGUGCCUUUUUGUAUGUACUUUAUGAAUAAGGAUCGGCUAACUCCGUGCCAGCAGCCGCGGUAAUACGGAGGCUCCGAGCGUUAUCCGGAUUUAUUUGGUUUAAAGGGAACGUAGAUGGGGUGUUAAGUCAGUUGUGAAAGUUUGGGGCUCAACCGUGGAAUUGCAAUUGAUACUGGCAGGCUGGAGUACAGUUGAGGUAGGCGGAAUGCGUGGUGUAGCGGUGAAAUGCUUAGAUAUCACGAAGAACUCCGAUUGCGAAGGCAGCUUACUAAACUGCAACUGACAUUGAUGCUCGAAAGUGUGGGUAUCAAACAGGAUUAGAUACCCGUGUAGUC
rnacentral:rRNA from 1 species